rnacentral:miRNA from 1 species
UUACAACCCCGGGGUUGAGAUUUUAACCCUGCUAGCUGAAGCAGGGUUGAAAUUUCAACCCCGGGGUUGAA